CCAGACUCCUACGGGAGGCAGCAGUGGGGGAUAUUGGACAAUGGGGGAAACCCUGAUCCAGCGACGCCGCGUGAGUGAAGAAGUAUUUCGGUAUGUAAAGCUCUAUCAGCAGGGAAGAAAGAAAUGACGGUACCUGAGUAAGAAGCCCCGGCUAACUACGUGCCAGCAGCCGCGGUAAUACGUAGGGGGCAGGCGUUAUCCGGAUUUACUGGGUGUAAAGGGAGCGUAGACGGCUGCGCAAGUCAGAAGUGAAAGCCCGAGGCUCAACCGCGGGACUGCUUUUGAAACUGUGUAGCUAGAGUGCAGGAGAGGUAAGUGGAAUUCCUAGUGUAGCGGUGAAAUGCGUAGAUAUUAGGAGGAACACCGGUGGCGAAGGCGGCUUACUGGACUGUAACUGACGUUGAGGCUCGAAAGCGUGGGGAGCAAACAGGAUUAGAUACCCUCGUAU
rnacentral:rRNA from 1 species